GAACGAGAAAGUGGAGCAAUCCAUGAGUAAAGUGGCGCACGGGUGAGUAACACGUGACUAACCUACCCUUGAGUGGGGGAUAACUGAGGGAAACCUUAGCUAAUACCGCAUAAUACCUACGGGUCAAAGGAGCAAUUCGCUUAAGGAGGGGGUCGCGGCCGAUUAGUUAGUUGGCGGGGUAAUGGCCCACCAAGACGAUGAUCGGUAUCCGGCCUGAGAGGGCGCACGGACACACUGGAACUGAAACACGGUCCAGACUCCUACGGGAGGCAGCAGUGGGGAAUCUUGCGCAAUGGGCGAAAGCCUGACGCAGCGACGCCGCGUGGGGGAUGAAGCUUUUCGGAGUGUAAACCCCUUUCGACCCGGACGAAACCCCGCAAGGGAUUGACGGUACGGGUAUAAGAAGCCCCGGCUAACUACGUG
rnacentral:rRNA from 1 species